rnacentral:rRNA from 1 species
AGCGAACGCUGGCGGCAGGCCUAACACAUGCAAGUCGAACGGAUCCUUCGGGAUUAGUGGCGGACGGGUGAGUAACACGUGGGAACGUGCCCUUUGGUUCGGAACAACUCAGGGAAACGUGAGCUAAUACCGGAUGUGUCCCUCGGGGGAAAGGUUUACUGCCGAAGGAUCGGCCCGCGUCUGAUUAGCUAGUUGGUGGGGUAAUGGCCUACCAAGGCGACGAUCAGUAGCUGGUCUGAGAGGAUGAUCAGCCACACUGGGACUGAGGCACGGCCCAGACUCCUACGGGAGGCAGCAGUGGGGAAUAUUGGACAAUGGGCGAAAGCCUGAUCCAGCCAUGCCGCGUGAGCGAUGAAGGCCUUAGGGUUGUAAAGCUCUUUCGACGGGGACGAUAAUGACGGUACCCGUAGAAGAAGCCCCGGCUAACUUCGUGCCAGCCGCCGCCGUAAAAC